rnacentral:rRNA from 1 species
UACGGAGGGAGCUAGCGUUGUUCGGAAUUACUGGGCGUAAAGGGCUCGUAGGCGGCCAACUAAGUCGGAUGUGAAAUCCCCAGGCUUAACCUGGGAACUGCAUCCGAUACUGGAUGGCUUGAAUCCGGGAGAGGGAUGCGGAAUUCCAGGUGUAGCGGUGAAAUGCGUAGAUAUCUGGAGGAACACCGGUGGCGAAGGCGGCAUCCUGGACCGGCAUUGACGCUGAGGAGCGAAAGCCAGGGGAGCAAACGGGG